GGGGCUAUAGCUCAGUUGGUUAGAGUGCUUCGUUGACAUCGAAGAGGUCGGCAGUUCGAAUCUGUUUAGCCCCACCA
rnacentral:tRNA from 1 species